rnacentral:rRNA from 1 species
UACGUAGGGUGCAAGCGUUAAUCGGAAUUACUGGGCGUAAAGCGUGCGCAGGCGGAUAUGCAAGACAGAUGUGAAAUCCCCGGGCUCAACCUGGGAACUGCAUUUGUGACUGCAUGGCUAGAGUACGGCAGAGGGGGAUGGAAUUCCUGGUGUAGCAGUGAAAUGCGUAGAUAUCAGGAGGAAUACCGAUGGCGAAGGCAGGUCUCUGGGCUGACACUGACGCUCAUGCACGAAAGCGUGGGGAGCAAACAGG